rnacentral:tRNA from 1 species
GGCUGUGGCUCAGUGGCAGAGCGCUUGCCUAGCAUGUGUGAGGCACUGGGUUCAAUCCUUAGCACCA